rnacentral:lncRNA from 1 species
GUAGAGCACUCCUGACUCCAGCCUUGGCAUCACUGAGGCUAUAGAGCUGGUAACAUGCUGGGAACAGGGAUUCCUCAUAGACCUUCCAGAAGAGUACAUCUCUGAUCUGCUUCGUGGACUCUACAUGCUGUCUGUGUUCAGAGAUUCUCCAGAUCAUUACACAGGUUAGCUCUCCCCCUGCUCACCCACCAGUCAUAGGAUUCAAACAACGAGCUUCAAAUUAUGCUGAGAAUAAAUGGUGGUAAACAGCAAACCCAAGGAGACAAAUAAGACGAACACCUUGAAGAGGAACCAGGAGGAAGUUCUGUAGCCAGCAUCCAGCUUCUCCAAAAGUUGUCUCCUUCUCUCAGGAGCAUCUCUUGCCUGUUUGCAGGUAGAUUCACCAUUUGGAGGAACACUGCUGUCAUGGAAGGUCAUGGCUGGAGAAGGGGAAGGGGAUCUCACAGGAAAUGAGACAGUCAAAGAAUUUCAGCUUUUAAUUUUAACAGAGCAGUUGAAGAGUAGUUUACAUCGUGAGUAUUCUUAGACUUUGUCUUUAUCUUGCCCCAUCUUUCUAAUAAAU